CCGAUACGACCGUACCGCAAACCGACACUGGUGCGCGAGAUGAGUAUUCUAAGGCGCUUGAGAGAACUCAGGAGAAGGAACUCGGCAAAUUGACACCGUAACUUCGGAAGAAGGUGUGCCCUAUUAGUGUGUAGUGAACAACGAAGCAUGAAUGGGUUGCAAAAAAUCGGUGGCUGCGACUGUUUAUUAAAAACACAGCACUCUGCAAACACGAAAGUGGACGUAUAGGGUGUGACGCCUGCCCGGUGCUGGAAGAUUAAAUGAUGGGGUGCAAGCUCUUGAUUGAAGUCCCAGUAAACGGCGGCCGUAACUAUAACGGUCCUAAGGUAGCGAAAUUCCUUGUCGGGUAAGUUCCGACCUGCACGAAUGGCGUAACGAUGGCCACACUGUCUCCUCCUGAGACUCAGCGAAGUUGAAAUGUUUGUGAUGAUGCAAUCUCCCCGCGGAAAGACGGAAAGACCCCAUGAACCUUUACUGUAGCUUUGUAUUGGACUUUGAACAGAUCUGUGUAGGAUAGGUGGGAGGCUUUGAAGCAGGGUCGCUAGAUCUUGUGGAGCCAACGUUGAAAUACCACCCUGGUGUGUUUGAGGUUCUAACCUAGGUCCAUUAUCUGGAUCGGGGACAGUGCAUGGUAGGCAGUUUGGCUGGGGCGGUCUCCUCCCAAAGCGUAACGGAGGAGUUCGAAGGUACGCUAGUUACGGUCGGACAUCGUGACGAUAGUGCAAUGGCAUAAGCGUGCUUAACUGCGAGACUGACAAGUCGAGCAGAUGCGAAAGCAGGACAUAGUGAUCCGGUGGUUCUGUAUGGAAGGGCCAUCGCUCAACGGAUAAAAGGUACUCUGGGGAUAACAGGCUGAUACCGCCCAAGAGUUCAUAUCGACGGCGGUGUUUGGCACCUCGAUGUCGGCUCAUCUCAUCCUGGGGCUGUAGCCGGUCCCAAGGGUAUGGCUGUUCGCCAUUUAAAGAGGUACGUGAGCUGGGUUUAAAACGUCGUGAGACAGUUUGGUCCCUAUCUUCCGUGGGCGCUGCAGAUUUGGGGAAGCCUGCUCCUAGUACGAGAGGACCGGAGUGGACACACCUCUGGUGUAUCGGUUGUCACGCCAGUGGCAUUGCCGAGUAGCUAAGUGUGGAAGAGAUAACCGCUGAAAGCAUCUAAGCGGGAAACUCGUUUCAAGAUGAGAUCUGCCGGGGCCUUGAGCCCCCUAAAGAGUCGUUCAAGACCAGGACGUUGAUAGGUCAGGUGUGGAAGCGAA
rnacentral:rRNA from 1 species